rnacentral:rRNA from 1 species
AACGAACGCUGGCGGCAGGCCUAACACAUGCAAGUCGAACGCCCCGCAAGGGGAGUGGCAGACGGGUGAGUAACGCGUGGGAACCUACCCAGUGGUACGGAACAACCCAGGGAAACUUGGGCUAAUACCGUAUACGCCCUUAGGGGGAAAGAUUUAUCGCCAUUGGACGGGCCCGCGUUGGAUUAGCUAGUUGGUGGGUAAUGGCCUACCAAGGCAACGAUCCAUAGCUGGUCUGAGAGGAUGAUCAGCCACACUGGGACUGAGACACGGCCCAGACUCCUACGGGAGGCAGCAGUGGGGAAUCUUGGACAAUGGGCGCAAGCCUGAUCCAGCCAUGCCGCGUGAGUGAAGAAGGCCCUAGGGUUGUAAAGCUCUUUCGGCGGGGACGAUAAUGACGGUACCCGCAGAAGAAGCCCCGGCUAACUCCGUG